rnacentral:misc_RNA from 1 species
GAUGAAGAACGUAGCGAAAUGCGAUAAGUAAUGUGAAUUGCAGAAUUCAGUAAAUCAUCGAAUCUUUGAACGCACCUUGCGCCCUUUGGCCAUUCCGAAGGGCAUGCCUGUUUGAGUAUCAUGAACACCUCAACUCUUUAUGGUUUUCCAUGAUGAGCUUGGACUCUGGGGGUUUUGCUGGCUCACAGUCGGCUCCUCUAAAAUGAAUCAGCUUACCAGUGUUUGGUGGGUAUCAUGGGUGUGAUAACUAUCUACGCUUGUGGUUUUUCCACCAGGUAACCUUCAGCAGUGGAGGUUCGCUGGAGCUCAUAGAUGUCUCUCCUCAGUGAGGACAGCCCUUUGAAUGUUUGAUCUCAAAUCAGGUAGGACUACCCGCUGAACUUAAGCAUAUCAAUAAGCGGAGGA